rnacentral:rRNA from 1 species
UUUAUGGAGAGUUUGAUCCUGGCUCAGGAUGAACGCUGGCGGCGUGCCUAAUACAUGCAAGUCGAGCGAACGGACGAGAAGCUUGCUUCUCUGAUGUUAGCGGCGGACGGGUGAGUAACACGUGGAUAACCUACCUAUAAGACUGGGAUAACUUCGGGAAACCGGAGCUAAUACCGGAUAAUAUUUUGAACCGCAUGGUUCAAAAGUGAAAGACGGUCUUGCUGUCACUUAUAGAUGGAUCCGCGCUGCAUUAGCUAGUUGGUAAGGUAACGGCUUACCAAGGCAACGAUGCAUAGCCGACCUGAGAGGGUGAUCGGCCACACUGGAACUGAGACACGGUCCAGACUCCUACGGGAGGCAGCAGUAGGGAAUCUUCCGCAAUGGGCGAAAGCCUGACGGAGCAACGCCGCGUGAGUGAUGAAGGUCUUCGGAUCGUAAAACUCUGUUAUUAGGGAAGAACAUAUGUGUAAGUAACUGUGCACAUCUUGACGGUACCUAAUCAGAAAGCCACGGCUAACUACGUGCCAGCAGCCGCGGUAAUACGUAGGUGGCAAGCGUUAUCCGGAAUUAUUGGGCGUAAAGCGCGCGUAGGCGGUUUUUUAAGUCUGAUGUGAAAGCCCACGGCUCAACCGUGGAGGGUCAUUGGAAACUGGAAAACUUGAGUGCAGAAGAGGAAAGUGGAAUUCCAUGUGUAGCGGUGAAAUGCGCAGAGAUAUGGAGGAACACCAGUGGCGAAGGCGACUUUCUGGUCUGUAACUGACGCUGAUGUGCGAAAGCGUGGGGAUCAAACAGGAUUAGAUACCCUGGUAGUCCACGCCGUAAACGAUGAGUGCUAAGUGUUAGGGGGUUUCCGCCCUUAGUGCUGCAGCUAACGCAUUAAGCACUCCGCCUGGGGAGUACGACCGCAAGGUUGAAACUCAAAGGAAUUGACGGGGACCCGCACAAGCGGUGGAGCAUGUGGUUUAAUUCGAAGCAACGCGAAGAACCUUACCAAAUCUUGACAUCCUUUGACAACUCUAGAGAUAGAGCCUUCCCUUCGGGGACAAAGUGACAGGUGGUGCAUGGUUGUCGUCAGCUCGUGUCGUGAGAUGUUGGGUUAAGUCCCGCAACGAGCGCAACCCUUAAGCUUAGUUGCCAUCAUUAAGUUGGGCACUCUAAGUUGACUGCCGGUGACAAACCGGAGGAAGGUGGGGAUGACGUCAAAUCAUCAUGCCCCUUAUGAUUUGGGCUACACACGUGCUACAAUGGACAAUACAAAGGGCAGCGAAACCGCGAGGUCAAGCAAAUCCCAUAAAGUUGUUCUCAGUUCGGAUUGUAGUCUGCAACUCGACUACAUGAAGCUGGAAUCGCUAGUAAUCGUAGAUCAGCAUGCUACGGUGAAUACGUUCCCGGUCUUGUACACACCGCCCGUCACACCACGAGAGUUUGUAACACCCGAAGCCGGUGGAGUAACCUUUUAGGAGCUAGCCGUCGAAGGUGGGACAAAUGAUUGGGGUGAAGUCGUAACAAGGUAGCCGUAUCGGAAGGUGCGGCUGGAUCACCUCCUUUCU